rnacentral:rRNA from 1 species
GACGAACCGUGCGAACGUUGUUCGGAAUCACUGGGCUUAAAGGGCGCGUAGGCGGCCGACCGAGUCCGGGGUGAAAGCUUUCGGCUUAACCGGAAAAGGGCCUUGGAUACCGGUCGGCUCGAGGGGGGUAGGGGCCUGCGGAACUUCCGGUGGAGCGGUGAAAUGCGUUGAUAUCGGAAGGAACGCCGGUGGCGAAAGCGGCGGGCUGGACCCCUUCUGACGCUGAGGCGCGAAAGCCAGGGGAGCAAACGGGAUUAGAAA